UACGGAGGGUGCAAGCGUUGUCCGGAUUUAUUGGGUUUAAAGGGUGCGUAGGCGGCUAUUUAAGUCAGUGGUGAAAGACUCCGGCUCAACCGGAGCAGUGCCAUUGAUACUGGGUAGCUUGAGUGUUGGAGGGGUACAUGGAAUUGAUGGUGUAGCGGUGAAAUGCAUAGAUACCAUCAGGAACACCGAUAGCGAAGGCAUUGUACUGGCCAACAACUGACGCUGAGGCACGAAAGCGUGGGGAGCGAACAGG
rnacentral:rRNA from 1 species